UACGGGGGGGGCAAGCGUUGUUCGGAAUUACUGGGCGUAAAGGGCUCGUAGGUGGCCAACUAAGUCAGACGUGAAAUCCCUCAGCUUAACUGGGGAACUGCGUCUGAUACUGGAUGGCUUGAGAUUGGGAGAGGGAAGUGGAAUUUCCGGUGUAGCGGUGAAAUGCGUAGAUAUCGGAAGGAACAUCAGUGGCGAAAGCGGCUUCCUGAACCAAUACUGACACUUAGGCGCGAAAGCGUGGGGAGCAAACAGG
rnacentral:rRNA from 1 species